UUCGGGCACGGAUUCGGUGUGCCGAAAUUCUUUGGCACACCAGUGCACAUGAUGUUUAUGUUUGGCUGAUCGGUGCGCCAUUUGAGGUUGGCCGUCGGAUCUCUCUGCUUUUUCAAUCCAAUGGUAGAGAUUACUCUUUCUCUCUCCUCCUAUAAUUGGUUAGUGGUUUAGGUGUGUCAGAGGGGUUAGUUUGCAAAUCUCACUUUGUAGCUGGUUAUUUUUGUUACAAUAAAAAAUUAUUUGGG
rnacentral:lncRNA from 1 species